GUUGAGUACCUACAUUAAGGUGAUAAGCAGGUGCGAGUGCAUUUCGCUCGCAUUUUGCAAUGUCAUAAAAAUUUACUACACACGCCUAUCUUCACACAUAUACCUACAUACUUCAUGCAACUUAACGAUUGAAAUUGAAUUUAGUUGAAAAUUGAAAGAUUUUUUUCUAUCGAUGGGUGAUAAGGUGUGUAAUAAAUCUGUCGUUAUGUUGUCACUCAUUAUAAAAAUAAGUACAGGUACGGUACUUCUACACACGAUUUUACCGCAGGAUAUCCGCACUUGAUUUCAUAGUUGCAGAGGUAAAGUACAUAUAUGUAGGUAUAGUAAAGAAAACUCUCGCACGUGAUCUUUCAAUUAAAUAAUAUGUCUUCGGAAAAAAAAUAUUUUCGCUUGUUCCUACCGCUUUAAUUUAACGUACGAUUUAACAAUACUUUGUUAUACUGUAUAUAGAAACGCAUUUCGGAGUUUUAAUUAAAACCGUUACAUACUUGCAAAAUUCGUUCAUUUGUUUCGUUCUAAGAGAUGGACACGUCGCGUUUUUUUCUUCUGUUUUUCUUCUUUUUUUUUUUUUAUUGUCCCAUAUUUUAACAUAAACGUAAAGUAUUUAUGUAGGAAUUUCAUUCGUUUCCGUAUUCGUACUUCCUUAGAUGUGAAUACUUAUACUUACUUAUACCACACCAUACCUUAUAUAAUUGCACUAAGAAGUGAAUAUAAUUGUUAUACUAAAUGGUGCGAAUAAUGCUUUAUAAAAGGAAGUUCACGCCUUUAGAUGAAUAUGAUUUAUACGAGCGUGUUAAAGGUUAAAUAAAUUUGCGAAAUUUAUUUUCGUGUUGCAUACCUUAAUACUUUAUAUUAUAGGUACUUUUAAGGAUAAUGUUUUGCCUAAAUAUGACUGCGCAUUCAUGUUGCGAGAUGAUCGAUUCAUUAAACGCAUGCAUCCGAGUGAAUUGCUAUCAACUUUGUAUAGAGAAUGGGGAGUUCCUACUUCAUUUUUUGGUAUUUUUUGCAAAAAAAAAAUUGAAUAGAUAACUUCAGAAACGGUUUAUGUUGAAUGCAGUCAUUCUUUUCCAAACACAUAAAUGUUGAAAAAAAAUAAAAUAACAGUAUCAGAAAUACUUAUUAAGCUAAGCAAACUUUAUACCCAUAAAGUAUGAAAUACUCUUCGAUUUCUAAAUAAUUAAGGGAAAAUAAAUAAGUAUGCGAAUAAACUUGAAAAAUACGUAUAGGUAUCUGUUUUCUAUUCUUUUUCAUCAGUUCGCAUUAUUUAUAUUCAUGAUCAAGGAUACCCCAGCAGACAUGAAUUUCCGCAAAACAUAUUUGCAUCAGAAACUCUCAAACUGCAGCUUUUAAAACGCACAUUGAAAAAAAAAACACACGCUUCAUCUCUUUUAUAAGGUGCCUGGGUAAAUGAGUAUAUUAAAUACACACGAUAAAUAUUACACAUUAAUUUGAUUAUUAUAAGCGGAAAAAAAUUAGCAUACAUUUCA